ensembl:rRNA 5S_rRNA 5S ribosomal RNA
CCAUCUGGCCAUACCACCCUGAAUGUGCUCAAUCUUGUCUGAUUUAGGAAGCUAAGCAGAGUUGGGCCUGGUUAGUACUUGGAUGGGAGUAAUUUAAAACAUCACAGAUCCACAUAGC